rnacentral:rRNA from 1 species
GAUGAACGCUGGCGGCGUGCCUAAUACAUGCAAGUCGAGCGAAAAGACGAGGAGCUUGCUCCUCUGACGUUAGCGGCGGACGGGUGAGUAACACGUGGAUAACCUACCUAUAAGACUGGGAUAACUUCGGGAAACCGGAGCUAAUACCGGAUAAUAUAUUGAACCGCAUGGUUCAAUAGUGAAAUACGGUUUUGCUGUCACUUAUAGAUGGAUCCGCGCCGCAUUAGCUAGUUGGUAAGGUAACGGCUUACCAAGGCAACGAUGCGUAGACGACCUGAGAGGGUGAUCGGCCACACGGGAACUGAGACACGGUCCAGACUCCUACGGGAGGCAGCAGUAGGGAAUCUUCCGCAAUGGGCGAAAGCUUGACGGAGCAACGCCGCGUGAGUGAUGAAGGUCUUCGGAGCGUAAAACUCUGUUAUUAGGGAAGAACAAAUGUGUAAGUAACUAUGCACGUCUUGACGGUACCUAAUCAGAAAGCCACGGCUAACUACGUG